rnacentral:rRNA from 1 species
GACGAACGCUGGCGGCGUGCUUAACACAUGCAAGUCGAACGGAAAGGCCCUGCUUUUGUGGGGUGCUCGAGUGGCGAACGGGUGAGUAACACGUGAGUAACCUGCCCUUGACUUUGGGAUAACUUCAGGAAACUGGGGCUAAUACCGGAUAGGAGCUCCUGCUGCAUGGUGGGGGUUGGAAAGUUUCGGCGGUUGGGGAUGGACUCGCGGCUUAUCAGCUUGUUGGUGGGGUAGUGGCUUACCAAGGCUUUGACGGGUAGCCGGCCUGAGAGGGUGACCGGCGACCUUGGGACUGAGAGACGGCCCAGACUCCUACGGGAGGCAGCAGUCGGGAAUAUUGCACAAUGGGCGGAAGCCUGAUGCAGCAACGCCGCGUGCGGGAUGACGGCCUUCGGGUUGUAAACCGCUUUCGCCUGUGACGAAGCGUGAGUGACGGUAAUGGGUAAAGAAGCACCGGCUAACUACGUG